rnacentral:tRNA from 1 species
GCGGGUAUCGUAUAGUGGCAUUACGCGUGCUUCCCAAGCACGAAAGAGGAGUUCGAUUCUCCUUACCCGCU